GACGGAGGAUGCAAGUGUUAUCCGGAAUCACUGGGCGUAAAGCGUCUGUAGGUGGUUUAAAAAGUCCACUGUUAAAGGUUGAAGCUUAACUUCAAAAAUGCCGUGGAAACUUUUAAACUUGAGUAUGAUAGGGGUAGAGGGAAUUUCCAGUGGAGCGGUGAAAUGCGUAGAUAUUGGAAAGACCACCGAUGGCGAAGGCACUCUACUGGGCCAUUACUGACACUGAGAGACGAAAGCUAGGGGAGCAAAUGGG
rnacentral:rRNA from 1 species